CUUCUAAACCCAGGGGUGUUCGUGUGCAGACGGUCAGUUUAAUCUCUUUCCACUUUUCUGUUGCUUGACACACGACCUCGGUCACAGAUAAUUGGUCGGGCGAUCAGAAAAAGAUUCCAAAUCGAAUCUUUCACAUUUUUAAAAUGAAUUCUAUUUAUUCCAAUAAACAAUCAACGACAUUUAUUAGCAACAAAAAUAGAAUUUUUAAACGUAAGAAAUUAAAAUUCUACGAAUCACAAAAGUCAUCGAUAUUUCAUCACAACGUGGCUCCAACUCUGAACGCAUCACAAGCCUGAGAAUCAUCAAUAUUCAGGGUAUUUAUGAAAAACUUGCUCAUGUAGGGGAUCAGUUUCUGGAUUUACAUCAUGAAAAAAAUAAUCGCUUGGACGCGAACUAAUUAAAUCAAGCCGUCAUCUGCUCACAUAAAAAGGCGGUUUAUUUGAAUCUUCGUCAUCAAACGAACACGCCACAGAAAAGUUCAAGGCAUUGAUGAAGGUGGAGACGGACAAUAACAGCUGACCAUAAUUAAAAAAUCAGCUCGUUUGAUGUCAAAUUUACAAGAAUUUUUUUUUUUACUUUAAUGAAAUUUACAAAAUAAAAAAAACUACUGAAAUUAUGAA